rnacentral:tRNA from 1 species
GGGGUUGUAGCUCAGUGGUGGAGUGCUUGCCUAGCAUAUAUGAGGCACUGGGUUCAAUUCUCAGCACCACA